GUCCCGUUCGUCUAGAGGCCUAGGACACUGCCCUUUCGCGGCGGCGGCAGGGGUUCGAAUCCCCUACGGGGCACCA
rnacentral:tRNA from 1 species